CCAGGUCCCCCGGGAUCCCCACAGCGGUGUGAUGGGGUGUCAGCGGCCGAGGGCACAUGGAGAGGGGCCGUCAGCACUCAUCCGUCAGGGCAGGGCUCUGGCCCCUGACAGCUGCCUGCCUGAGCCAGGGCCUAAGGGCCAAGCCCCAGGACAGGGGGUGCUGUGGGGAACAGAGCCAGCCUGGGGAUGUGUGUGU